rnacentral:rRNA from 1 species
UACGUAGGGUGCAAGCGUUGUCCGGAAUUAUUGGGCGUAAAGCGCGCGCAGGCGGUCCUUUAAGUCUGAUGUGAAAGCCCACGGCUCAACCGUGGAGGGUCAUUGGAAACUGGGGGACUUGAGUGCAGGAGAGAAGAGUGGAAUUGCCACGUGGUAGCGGUGAAAUGCGUAGAGAUGUGGAGGAACACCAGUGGCGAAGGCGGCAUCC